rnacentral:lncRNA from 1 species
AUGUUAGUACGGAUCUUGAAACAAACCAAAGUAAACGGAGAAAACCCUAAAAUUCCCUUGGCCUGUUUUCCUAUCCGGUCAGCCCGCCAGUCAUCAAAAUCGGAACAAGGUUCUAAGCAGAAUGGAACUCUUGGUGGUGACAGGUUCCACCAGGGAACCAACUUUUUGGAAAUCACGCGGGUCACGGGGGCCCCGCGCGCGGCCUUCCACGUGCAUCAGUCUCCCCGUGGAAGGCCCCGUCCCCCGAGCCCACGAGCAGCGCAGCGGAAGGUCCGCGGGGAGGGCUCCUCUGGGGUCGCCCCGCACUCAGGAGGCGGCGCUUCCCGUGCCCUUGGGGUCGCGGCGAACCAGGGGCUUCCCUCCGGGCUCACUGGUCUCCCCCGCGCCGCGCCCGCCCCCUCCUCCCCACGCAGCGCUCAGCCCGGGGCGCCGGGGCCGCAGGUGCGCGCGGGCGGGGCCGCGACGGCGGGAACCAGCGAGGCACCUCCGCACCCGCAGCUCGGCGCGGGCCCCGCCCCGGGAGGGCCCCCCCACCCCCCGAAGGUCGCGGCGCCCGUCCCCCGCCCCCCGCCCCCGGGACGGGUCCCGAGCAGGUCCUGGGCGCUUCCCCGGGGGGACCCGCGCCCCAGCGGGAGGAGCGGGACCCGGGGGGGGGGGUCAGUACCUGGUCCCCGGGGUCGCCCGUCCCCCGCCCCCGGGGACGGGUCCGAAGUAGGUCCUGGGAGCUUCCCCGGGGGGACCCGCAACCCAACGGGAGGAGCGGGGCGUGGUACCCGGCCCCCGGGGUCGCCCGCCCCCCGCCCGGGCGCUUCCCCCGAGGCACGGGCGCCCGGGCGGGAGGAGCUGGCCCGGGAGGAGCGGGCCGUGCUGCGCGGGGGGCGGGGCGGGCGCGGGGCGCGGGGCGCGGGGGGCGGGGGGCGGGGCCGGCCCGCGGGGCAGGUGGGCGAGCGGCGGCGCGGGCCGCGGGGACCCGGAGGCGCGGGGAGCGGGCGGGGGAGCGGGCGGGGGGAGCCGCGCGGCGCGGCCGUCGGGAGCUCGGCGGGGAGCGGGGGGCGCGCGGCGGCAGGACCCGCCUCCCCGGCCGCGUGCACACCCGCGCCCACCGCGGCUCGGGCCGGCUGA